rnacentral:tRNA from 1 species
GGCAGGGUAGCUCAGUUGGUUAGAGCGCGCGGUUCAUACCCGCGUUGUCGGGGGUUCAAGUCCCUCCCCUGCUACCA